AGAGUUUGAUCCUGGCUCAGGAUGAACGCUAGCUACAGGCUUAACACAUGCAAGUCGAGGGGAAGCGACAUCGAAAGCUUGCUUUUGAUGGGCGUCGACCGGCGCACGGGUGGGUAACGCGUAUCCAACCUGCCCACCACUUGGGGAUAACCUUGCGAAAGUAAGACUAAUACCCAAUGACGUCUCUAGAAGACAUCUGAAAGAGAUUAAAGAUUUAUCGGUGAUGGAUGGGGAUGCGUCUGAUUAGCUUGUUGGCGGGGUAACGGCCACCAAGGCUACGAUCAGUAGGGGUUCUGAGAGGAAGGUCCCCCANAUUGGAACUGAGACACGGUCCAAACUCCUACGGGAGGCA
rnacentral:rRNA from 1 species